GUUUUCUGGAGUAGUGUUAUGUGGAGGACUGAGAAAUAAUAUUUUCUAAGACUUCACAUCUGAUACAGGUAUACGCGAAAUGUGUUCCCUAGGUUUAAUUGGAAAGUUAGUGACUGGUCCCUGGAUGAAAAAAUUCUAUGUUGUGCCAGGACAAGGACUUGACUAUUUGUCUGACAUCUAAGUGAUCAAAAAUGUUUGCAAUGCACUUGUUGAAAGCAGCGCAGAAGCUCUUUCCCUUAUUCACCGAAAGACAGACUUUUUUUGGAGGUGAUCUCAAUGAUCCAGUUUUUCAAUAACUCAUAGACUUUUGCCCAAGAACUGAUGAAACGAGUAAUGCAUUAGCCAGCUGUCUAAAUGCUGUCAUUAGUGUUAUUAACCGUCAGUAUGAGCGACAGUUUACUAUGACUUUAACUGAACUCAAGUCCCAGACAUUAUCAGCACGUCAACAUAAUAUUGACUGUGAAGAACUUGUGGGUAUGUUUAGUGCUGCAAAGCAAAAAGCUCUUAAUGCCACAAUUUGUUAUUUGUCUUCGAAAAUUCGCGCAUGCAAGAUUCGCAUGUUACAGCAUGGGAAGAUAUAUUAACAAAAAGUUUUGAAGAUUUAAAUGAUGCAGAAAUGUCUGUAAUAGAAUACUGCAGACCAAAUUUUCACCCUUUGAAAAUUGAUUCCAAAGAAAAAGUUGAUCAUUUCAAUAAAAAAGUAAAAGAAAGUUCGCAGAUAUUUUGUAUUCCUAUUGAUGCUAUAUAUGGCUGCAGUCCAUAAUCAUCCGCAUGGGCCUGAGCAGUUACAGAUAACCUAAAUAGACAUGGUUUAAAAACAAGACAUAGAGAUAUCUACAACAUAAAGCAAAGAAUGAAAUUUAAAGGUUUUAUGUCCUGCACUUGAAGAAAUUAUGAAGGUUCUUGAUUUACCAGACAUUAUGUCUCACAUUGACGCCGAUCAUGAUAGAAAAGUAGAAUGCAUCACUUGGACAACAACAGAACAAAUAAAACUGUUAAAAUGAUUUCCUGAGUGUAUCAUGCUGGAUGGCACCUAU